rnacentral:rRNA from 1 species
GACGAACGCUGGCGGCGUGCUUAACACAUGCAAGUCGAACGGAAAGGCCCCUUUCGGGGGGUACUCGAGUGGCGAGCGGGUGAGUAACACGUGAGUAACCUGCCCUUGACUUUGGGAUAACUUCAGGAAACUGGGGCUAAUACCGGAUAGGAGCUCCUGCUGCAUGGUGGGGGUUGGAGAGUUUCGGCGGUUGGGGAUGGGCUCGCGGCGUAUCAGCUUGUUGGGGGGGUAGUGGCUUACCAAGGCUUUGACGGGUAGCCGGCCUGAGAGGGUGACCGGGCAACAUGGGACUGAGAAAACGCCCAGGCUCCUACGGGGGGCAGGAGGGGGGGAUUAUUGAACAUUGGUCGAAGCCUGAUGCAGGAAACCCGGGGGGGGGAUGAAGGCCUUUCGGUUGUAAACCGCUUUCGCCCAUGACGGAGCUGUGUGUGACGGUAGUGGGUAAAGAAGCACCGGCUAACUACGUG